CAGGGAGACAACAAAAUGUAAAAUAUUAAUUUUGUCACCUUAGGUCGAUCGGUAUCUCACAUUCUUAAUUUUUUAAGGAUAUUAUUUCCUAAGUUUUUUCUAGGUCACACCCAUUACUUUUCCUGGGCCAUUAGCUCAGGUGGUUAGAGCGCACCCCUGAUAAGGGUGAGGUCCCUGGUUCAAGUCCAGGAUGGCCCAUAUCUCUAUGUUGGGGGUAUAGCUCAGUUGGUAGAGCGCCUGCUUUGCAAGCAGGAUGUCAGCGGUUCGAGUCCGCUUACCUCCACUGAUUACCACCUCUUCCAUAUUUUAAAGAAGGGAAAUGUUUUUGAGUUGUGAUCAAAUUCUGAACGAAUCUAGCUUCCUAAUGUGAUCAUUAAGAUGCUGGACUCAUUGAGUUAUUUUCAAUGUUUUCAGAGAACCUUGACAACUGCAUAGAUUAUUUUUAAAGACAAUAAGCAUCUUUAAUGAUGCAGAUUUAUUAUUUGUGCUAAAGCAUUAAUAACAAUUCUAUUAAGCUGAUGCUUCAA
rnacentral:tRNA from 1 species